GGGAAUGUGGCUUAGUGGUAAAGUGCUUGCCUAGUAUGCAUGAGGCCCUGGGUUCAAUUCCUUGGCACCA
rnacentral:tRNA from 1 species